rnacentral:rRNA from 1 species
GACGAACGCUGGCGGCGUGCCUAAUACAUGCAAGUAGAACGCAGUUGCGAACGGGUGAGUAACGCGUAGGUAACUGCCUCAUAGCGGGGGAUAACUAUUGGAAACGAUAGCUAAUACCGCAUACUGUGAGAUGGACCUGCGUUGUAUUAGGUAGUUGGGUAGGUAAAGGCCCACCAAGGCGACCAUACAUAGCCGACCCGGGAGGGUGGUCGGCCCACCUGGGACUGGGACACGGGCCAGACUCCUAAGGGGGGGAGCAAGAGGGAAACUUCGGCAAUGGGGGGAAGUCUGACCGAGGCAAGCCGGGGGGGUGGAGAAGGUUUUCGGGUCGGAAAGCUCUGUUGUUAGAGGAGCGGUAACUAACCAGAAAGCGACGGCUAACUACGUGCCAGCAGCCGCGGUAAUAC